CUGCCCUCGGGCCUGGCUCGCCCGCGGGCGGAUGGCUCCGGGUCUCUGCUGCUGAGGAUGUGGCUGCCGGGCGGAGGUCGUCCACUCCCCUGGGCCUUUCUCCGCGAGCCCUCCCACGCCGCCCGCUCCUCUCCCGGGGCGAAGGGCGGGGACGAGGCGCGCCGAAGCCCCGAGCUGAAGAGAAGGGUGGGGGCAUGAGGGCGCUGGAGUGAGGAACAGAUUGGAGCCUUCCCACUUCCUCUCCAAUCUCAGCCCCCGGGAGGAGGGGUGAGGCCCUCGAGGGGGCCCGGAGUUAAGGAGGAAUAGACCGUUUCUCUCUCUCCUGUCUCCCCCGCCUCUGCCCGUCUUCCCUCUAAGCCGGCCUCUAGGUGCAGAGGCUGACGUCCAGGAUGGGGACCGGGGAAGCCUCUGGAGGGUAUAUCCGGGAAGGCACCAAGGCUGAAGUGAGAGCGGUUCUGGGGAAGGCUUUAAAAAGCAGAUAUGGACCAGGGUAGAGUUCGUACGCUGUAGCUUUUCAAGAACACCGAUCUCAUUAAUUAAAGAACAGCAACUAUUUAAUUCCAGUUAUAAACUAUUGUUUUCCAGUUAGUCUGGGUAGGUGUGGCCGUUUGUAGAAUAGUUAGAUUACAUUAGUCUAUUGCGUUGGUACAGUUGUCUAUAGCUUGAGCAUAUAAAAACUCCUGAGCCCAGCAGAAAAGUUACUUUCCAAUACCAGUCUCCAUCCUCCGUGCUUUGGAAGUUGCAUCGUUUUCCGGUUUUUCGUACUCAAAGAACACUGUCAAUUAUGACAGCUCUGUGACCUCUGAAAGAUGCAGUCUAGCACCUCAGUUAAGAAUAUGGACUCUAAAGUCAGACUGCCAGGCUUCAAAUUCCAGUUCUGCGACCUCAGCAAAGUUACUUAACCAAGCUCUCAGUGCCUUGUUUUCUUCAUCUGUAAAAUGAGGAUGACGUCACAGCAUUGUUGAGAGAAUUAAUACAGGCUCCAGACUUGUGAAUGGAGAAGUGUUGAGGUGACCCCAGCUCCAGCCACCAGCUGACGACAACCAUACCGGAGAUCCUGAGAGCUGCCUAGCUGACCCCAGGCACCCCCCAGACUUCAUGUAAGCUGUUUGAAGCCGAGGACUUUGUCUGUUUUGUUCACUCCCAAUAGAUUCAGCACUUAGAAGAAUGCCAGGCAGGCUUUCCCCACCAACCAAGAUGGAAUAACAGGGAAAAGACAUACCCUUCUAUCUUCAAUAAUUGGAAACCCAGACAAAGUUUAUGAAACGCUGGUUUUCAAGACAUAGGACAUCAGACAAUCAAGGACAGUAAACACUGAGAUGGGAAACAAACAAGGUGAGUACUGCAAUUGCCCAACAUUACUAGCUGGAAAGAGUUUCCCGACCAUGGCAGAGGGAGGAGGAUCCUUUGAGGUUCUGUGGUGUCCCUGAGUUGAGGAGACAAAGUUGAAAUUCCAGAGUGGUCAAGGCAGCUGGAGUUUGUAGAGCAGAGUACCAGAAAGAAAAUAGAUGCACAGAGAGAACCUCAGAGAUCUGCAAAAGAUCUCAGCUCUUCAGCUGUGCACCUAUCAGUACAUGCAUGUGACAAAGCACCCCAAGGCCAGGGGAAGAAUCACCUGAAAGUAUGAAGAGAAGAAUACUUGGAGCAUAUACAAACCAGGAAUAAUUUCAGUUCUCACCAGCCAAAUUGGAAGACCCCAUAGAUAACAGGCAUUAGGUAGAGCAGGGGUCCCCAACCUCCAGGGGCACUGACCAGUACUGUUCAUGGCCUGUUAGGAACUGGGCUGCACAGCAGGAGGUGAGCGGCAGGCUAGCCAGCAAACCUUCAUCUGUAUUUAUAGCUCCCAUCACUUGCAUUACUCCCCAUCACUCCCCAUCACUUGCAUUACCACCUGAGCUCCACCUCCUCUCAGAUCAGCAGCAGCAUUAGAUUCUCAUAGGAGUGUGAACCCUACUGUGAACUGCACAUGCAAGGGAUCUAGGUUGUGCACUGUUUAUGAGAAUCUAAUGCCUGAUGAUCUGAGGUGCAGCUGAGGCAGCAUAGCUAGGAGGUAGGUAUUUUGUUGCUGGGGACUCAUAUCAAAACCCUAUCAGUGAGUGGCAAGUGACAAUUAAGCUGCAUCUGGUGGCAGACUUUAUAGAGGCAAGUGAGUCAAUGUAUUUCAAUUGCACAGCUCUAUCUGGUGGCAAGUUUUAAGUCAGAAUCUGACACUUAAUUUAGUCUGUGCAUGGCCUGCCCAUUAUUUUAUUUACCACUUCUGUCUGUGCCUCUUUGCUGCACUGAACACUUGUCUCAGUCACAGUUUUGGUAAGCCCACAAGCUAACCCUAGCUAAAAUGAGUAAAAAGCAAACGACACUGGAGAGCUUCUUUGAAAAGUCAGAGAGACCCAAUGAUGAGACAGCAGAAGACUCUUAAGACUGCCAACAAAAAGAAAGCUGCACUUAAAAGAAAAUACCAGACUGGGCGUGGUGGCUCACACCUGUAAUCCUAGCACUUUGGGAGGCUGAAGCAGGUGGAUCCCUUGAGGCCAGGAGUUUGAGACCAGCCAAGCCAACAUGGUGAAACCCAUGUUUCUAAAAAAAAAAAAAAAAAAAAUUAGCCGGGAAUGGUGGUGCGUGCCUGUAAUCUGAGCUACUCAGGAGGCUGAGGCAGGAGAAUCUCUUGAACCCAGGAGGCAGAGGUUGCAGUGAGCUGAGACUGUGCCACUGCACUCCACUCCAGCCUGGGUGCCAGACCAAGACUCUGUCUCAGAAAAAAAAAAAAGAAAAUGCCAAAAGUUCUACUUAAGUUAUGGGUUAAUUGCAACAGGUGAUUCACAUUCUCUAAGCCCACUUUGUAUAUUAUGUGCUGACCCACUAUUCAAGGAAGCCAUGAAAACUUCAAAACUGCUUCACCACCUGGAGACCAAGCACCCUGCAUUAAAAGACAAGCCUUUGGAGUUUUUCUAAAGAAAAAACAUGAACACAGAGAACAGAAGUAAUUAUUGAAGGCCACUACUUCAUUAAGUGUGUCUGUACUGAGAGCAUCGUUCCUAGUGGCUAACCACGUUAUUAGGCUAAGAAGCCCUUUAGUAUUGGUGAAGAGUUGAUCCUGCCUGCUGCUAAGGACAUUUGUCAUGAACUUUUAGGAGAGGCUGCUGUUCAAAAGGUGGCACAUGUUCCUCUUUCAGCUAACACCAUAACUAGAAGAAUGGAUGAAAUAGCAGAGAAUAUUGAGGCACAAUUGUUAGAGAGGAUUAAUGAGUCACCGUGCUACACAAUCCACAAAAGGGUUUUGUCCCAGAAAUAGACUCAUACAUAUAUGAUCAGUGAUUUUCAACAGUGGUACAAAUGCAAGUCAGCGCAGAAAAAAUAAUCUCUUCAACAAAUGGUGCAGGAACAAUUGGAUAUCCAUAAAAUGAACUCGGAUCCACGCUUUGCACCAUAUGCAAAAAUUGACUCAAAAUAGGUAUAGGUCCUAGACCUAAAUGUAACAACCUGAAACUCUAAAAUUUCUCAGGAAAAAAAUGGGAUAAAAUCUUUGUGGUCUUGGAUUAGGCAAAGAUAUUUUCUUGUGUUUGUGGGUAAAGAAACCUUUAAUGAGGGUUCAAGGUGUAAGAGGAGGACCUUGUAGAGAGCCAGCGCUUAGCCCCAGCCUCCUCAUAUGCACAUGGCUCUGUAGAGGUUCUCCAGACAGUGCUGCUGCUGCUGUUUCGAGCCUUAUCUCCUCUGUGCUCCUC
rnacentral:lncRNA from 10 species